UACGUAGGGUGCAAGCGUUGUCCGGAAUCAUUGGGCGUAAAGAGCUCGUAGGCGGUCUGUCGCGUCUGCUGUGAAAACCUGGGGCUUAACCCUGGGCUUGCAGUGGGUACGGGCAGACUAGAGUGCGGUAGGGGAGACUGGAAUUCCUGGUGUAGCGGUGAAAUGCGCAGAUAUCAGGAGGAACACCGGUGGCGAAGGCGGAUCUCUGGGCCAUUACUGACGCUGAGGAGCGAAAGCGUGGGGAGCGAACAGG
rnacentral:rRNA from 1 species